UGGGCCCAGAUCCCAAGCAUCACUGGGACCCCAGGUCCUGAGCCUCCCGAGUGUCACUGGCCCCAGGUCGUGAGCAUCCCAAGGGUCGCUGCCCCAGGUCAUGAGUGUCACUGGGCCACAGGUCCUGAGCAUCCCAAGGGUCGCUGCCCCAGGUCAUGAGUGUCGCUGGGUCCCAGGUCAUGAGCAUUCCAAGGGUCGCUGCCCCAGGUCAUGAGUGUCGCUGGGCCACAGGUCCUGAGCAUCCCAACGGUCGCUGGGCCCAGAUCCCAAGCAUCACUGGGACCCCAGGUCCUGAGCCUCCCGAGCGUCACUGGCCCCAGGUCGUGAGCAUUGCUGCCCCAGGUCGUGAGCAUCGCUGCCGACCUCUGCUUGCUCGUCCCUGCAGUUUGGUCUCCUACCUGCUUCACUAACUUCUUGCUUGAUUCUUCCUGGGGACCCUCUCGCACACUGUAGGAUUUUAGCAGCAUCCUGGCCCCUAGACUCUAGAUGUCACUACCCCAGCCCCACCACCUCACAGGUUUGGCAACCCAUACCAUCUCCAGAUAUUGCCAAAUGCCCCCUGCGUGCAAAACCUCCCACGGAGACCCUUGUUCUAGAAGGACCUCGCAUGGUAAGUUGGUGAGCAUAGUGUGCUGAGCAUGCCUUCCUUCACCAGCGAGUCACUGGGGCCACCAUGGGCCUAACAUCCAGCAGGGGAGACAGGAGGAGCACAGGCGGCCCCAGCCCCUGGGGGAAGGUGUCCUCCUGGGGCUUGGGGCCGACACCGGGGCCGGGGCUGGGCCUGGCUGGAGGGUGGAUGGCAGUCUCUCAGGUGUGCCAUCCCACCUGCUCCUCAUCCUGGAAGGGCCAAGGGGCUCUACCGGCAGAAUGAGGGGCCAUAGCGCUCUGUGUAGCCACCUCUGUGCUCACAAAAGCAGGCUUUCCUGCUGCCUAAAGCUCUCUGGUGUGGAGCUGAGCUCCGGAGCCCCGAACAGCAUCAGGUGGUGGAGAACACUGACCUAUCGUCGCAUUUCUUCUCCAGCCGGGACACGUUUCAGGAGGAAUGUCAAGUGACUGUGGGGAGGGGAGUGACCUCUUCCGCCUGUUGCUUUGCACAUUGCACUCUUUGGUCAGAGAGUUAGAAAUGUCACUGGUUGUAGGGAUGGAAUUGUCACCUCUGGUGAGGUCUCAUCUGCAGGCGCCCACACAGCUGGAACUGAGAGCGGCCUGGUGAACCCGCAGGGCGGGCGGGGGCCCCGACCCCUUGAACGUGCUGACAGCCGAGGGAUCCAUUUGGAGAAGCCCUGGACUGGGUUCAAGCCCCCGCGACCUGGAGGACUGCCAAGCACCUGUGCCCAGGUCCGCUUCCCUAAAACUGGGCCACUGCAGCGGUGCAUGCAGGACGCGCAGCUGUCAAGAGCCACAGAACUCAUACAGGACUGGACAGUCACAGCCUCCCGUUGGAAGACUGCUGCAUGAGCUCACCGAUUGAGCAGCCGCGCAGCCAACGCGGUCUACUUGGUUUUUCUCAUGAGCCUAAAACAGUACCUCUGGAUUCCUGAAGGUCUCUGAAGCAGGAAUUUCCAGAUUUCCCUCCUCCUGAUGAGCCACCAGCCAGCCAUGGGGUGAGGCCACAGCAGCAGAACAGGUUCCUAGGCCUUUGCCCAGCUCCUGGGGAGGUCUGUGCUUCAGCGAAGCUCAAGGCCUGCUGGGCACCUGUGUGCCUGGCACAGUGGGGCUGCUGACCCUCCUGACCCGGCAGUGAAAUGUCCCCAUAAAUGGGUCCUCGGUGCCUGUGGUGUCAGGCUCUGAGGGGGCUUGUUAGGUUUGGGCCUGGGGUGGGCAUGGCUGUCUGAGGCUGCCCAGUGACCAGCUGCCACACGCCACCUGCUAGGGCCUGGUCAAGGGCAAAGCAACCCCCAUGGGAUCGAUUUUGAACCAGAAGGGUCCUUGCCAGCAGGCAUGUGGGGUCUUCCUGGCAGUAAGGGCAUCUUGGAAUGUGCCCAUCCUCAGAUGGCUGGGGUCACGUCCCAGUGAGCAUUUCUCCAGUUAAAACCAGCAGGAGGCCACAGCGGUACUGCCCCCCACGCACAGCUGGAAGGAGCUGGGCAUCCUGGCAUCCGGAGCAACACUUGGGGACUUCCCACACGCACUGUCCUCCAACAGCAGAGGGGGUGCGGAAGGUGCAGGACCCGGACCUGCUGGAGUCACAAAGACGAGGAGGGACUUUGCGGAGGGACACUGCCUGCCCCCCGCCACCCCCAGGUGACAGCAGCCAAGGGGCCAGGUGCCUUCCACGGGCUCUGUCAUGGGAGCAGCGGUGCCAGCAGCCCCAGCACAACUCAGCAGGGUGGACACUGUGGGGAGGGCAGGAUGCUCGCCCAGGGGGCCACCCGCCCCACCCCAUGGUCCACGCCGGAGAGUGUGGGGAGGGACAAGGCUGUGGCCCAAGGUCAGGCCAGCAUCAAGCUUCACUGGUCACGUGUCUUCAUCAAAAAACGUCUACCAGGUGCCACCUGGCCUCGUUUGUACGAUGCGUUCCCGGGCUGCAGCCCCUGCGCAGGGCGGGCCUCGGGAGGCAGACCCACGGCACCGGGCAGCGGCCGUCAGGGCACCCGCAUGUCCUGGGACGGGCGCAGGACACGGCCCCGCCCGCUCGGGGUCACACGGGCCGUGGGGCCAGGUCUGUUUCGGUUGAGUCUGGGUGACUAGGAAAGUGGCUGGUGCCUCGAUUCUCAGGGCAACCUCAGCUUCGAGCCUCAUCCCUGGUGGGUGACCGAAGCCUGGCCCCGCAGGCCCGACUCAGGCCGCGUGGGGCCUGUCUCCCCAGCGUGCUCCCCGAGGACGAGCCCGCGUAGGCGCUUUUAUUCCCUGCCCAGGCCUAAGGUUAUCGGGCAUGCAUUGGCGGUCGCUCCUGUCAUCUGAACCUGCUCACCCAAGAGUCAGCCGCCCCCGGAACCAGACACUCCCGGAAAAUGUCAGGACCCGGCCCAUCCCCCUCCGCGCCUUGCCCCCUGUCACCCGCAACUGCGGCAGCCACAUGUAAUUAGACGUGAACCGAGCGAGCCAGCUCCACCCGGUAACCGGCACCUGAACGCCUCCCUACCCUAACUUCCCGUGGGGGGGGGGGGGCGUGGGCGGCCGUUAGGAACCGAGGGGCUCCCCACCCUGGCCCCCGGGGCCACG